GCGGAUGUGGCGGAAUUGGCAGACGCGCUAGACUUAGGAUCUAGUGUCAUGGACGUGGGAGUUCGAGUCUCUUCAUCCGCACCA
rnacentral:tRNA from 1 species